ACAGAGAUAACUCCGUGUGGAACUGGAGGAACACAGCAGGCCAGGCAGCAUCAAAGGAACGGGAAAGUUGACGUUUCAGGUUGGGACCCUUCUUCAGAAAUGGGCUUAAUUAUAGGAUUCAAAUACAAACGUUUCAAAUACAAACGACAGUGAUUUAUCGUCAAGAGAUAUACCAAAGUCUUCACCAAAACAACCGAGUGGGAAGAGGAAAAGAUAACACCAGAAGAUUCAUUCAUUAAAGAUAUUUCACCGAACCUAAAUGAUUAAAUUCAUUAUCAGUGAGCUGUUGGUAUCGAUUACCUUCACUUCAAACUCAUUCUGAACCUAACACUUUCAAGGAUCAAGGAUGCAGGCGUCGCUGGCUAGGCUAGUAUUUGCUGUCCACCCAAACUGCAAUUGAAAAGAUAAUGGUGAGA